rfam:Triticum aestivum genome assembly, contig: Triticum_aestivum_CS42_TGACv1_scaffold_406889_5BL
CAUAUACUCCCUCCGUCCGAAAAUACUUGUCAUCAAAAUAGAUAGAAAGAGAUGUAUCUAGAGCUAAAAUACAUCUAGGUCCAUCCCCUUUUAUCCAUUUUGAUGACAAAUAUUUCCGGACGAAGGGAGUCCUCU